UACGAAGGGGGCUAGCGUUGCUCGGAAUUACUGGGCGUAAAGGGAGCGUAGGCGGACAUUUAAGUCAGAGGUGAAAUCCCGGAGCUUAACUUCGGAACUGCCUUUGAUACUGGGUGUCUUGAGUGUGAGAGAGGUAUGUGGAACUCCGAGUGUAGAGGUGAAAUUCGUAGAUAUUCGCAAGAACACCAGUGGCGAAGGCGGCUCACUGGCCCGGUACUGACGCUGAGGUGCGAAAGCGUGGGGAGCAAACAGG
rnacentral:rRNA from 1 species